rnacentral:lncRNA from 1 species
CCCAGGUGACCCCCGCCUCCGCGCUGGCCCUGGUCCCCUCCCUCUCCCGGCCGAGCGCGCCUCCGGGGUCAGUCCCUCCGGGCUGCGCGUGUGUGUAUCCCAGAGCUCCGCUCCGGGGUCUGUUCUGCCGCUGGCGGCUCCGCGCCGCACAGCCCUGCACUAAAGAACUGGAGUAGAGAAGGAGAAGCCAACGGCAAAUUCCGGGCAGGAAGUCGACCUACCCUUGCCUCUGGCCAGGUCGCAGUGUAGCAAUAAAAAUCACAUGUCAGUUCAGACAGCAGCAGGAAUAGCUGACUGGGAAGGAAAUAAUUGGAGGAGUAGUCCCAGCAGUAAGAGAGAAGAAAGAAAGACAUGGGCCUUGGAAGAUAGAUAGGAUAUGAGUAAAAUGAAGCAAAGAGCAUUGCGAUUAGAGCAAGGUGUUGGAAAUGUAUGCUGCAGAAAUACUGCCUAAAACCUGGAAGUCUCAUAGCUGAAAGCACCAAACUUUGGUCCCCCUCUCGCCACCAAAAUGAAGAGAGAAUGCAGCUGGAGAUGAUGAAUUUCAGUGUGGAUGUAGAUGCAGACAUAACAGCCAUUUCAGAAGAGCAUGUUUCACCUAUAAUAUCUGCUAUAACUGAAGUCAGCUGAUCUUGCUUUUAAACCCUUUUAGGAAUUUCAAAAUCAGCUCAAUGGAUAAUGACAAAAGUGUUAACUUCUGUGACACCAUUCUCUAAAGAUGAAACCAUAAUGUCAUCAGGGGUGGUGUUAAAUGCCAGACUGAAGAGAAAGUGGAAGAGACAGAUACGGUGGAAUGCAAGGAUACUGGACCCCUGAGAGCAGCCUGUUGUCAUUGCUUGGCAUUUACAGCAUCUGUAAUUCAUUAGCUAUUCUUUUCUUUUUUAAUGAGGAAACAGAAAGGAGAUCAAGGAAUGAGCUCAAAGCAACCAAAAAAAUCUUUUCAGUAGUAAGAUAAACAAAUGUUACCAUGAGUCUGAAAGCUAGAAUUCUACAAGGGGAAGAAAUAUAUGGCCCCUGCUAAUUUUAACCAGGACCAUUGCCUGUGUAAUUGCCAUAAUAAUAAAAGCUACUGGUAUCUAUAUUUUACAAACUGCUAUUAACUAAAUUACCUCAUUCAAACCUCACACACACACACACACAUACACACACAUACACACACACAAAACAGAAGGUAGGAAAGUCAAAAAUUAGAUCCUCAUUUUACAAAGGAGAAAACUGAGGCCCACAGAGGUUAAGCAAUCAGCCAAAUAACAACGAAGGCCACCUAGCUGGCAAGGAAACAGAACCCCAUGCAAACUCCCAUUAUCUGUUUAUUACCCCUCCCUACCAUGUAGGUUUUGGCUACAACAAACCAACUUGAUGGCCAAGUCUGGUUAAUCCUGGAGUGCCAAGACACAGGCCAACACAGAGAUACGUAACUUGUUAGGAUUUAUGUAAUUCACUCAACUCACUAAAUUAAUUAUUUAUUAAAUGCUGCCCAUGUGUCAGACACCAUGCUAUGUACCUUGGGUCCUUAGGGAAAGAAAUUGUAAACUCCUGGCCUUGAGGAGUUUACAAUUCCCUUCAAAGGACCCAAGUGUCUUUGAGUUACUCUCCUAAUAUCUGAGGCAGAAUCCCUUCCCAGGGGAGGCACUUUCAGCUCACUCUGGUGCUGGAGUGACACCUGCUGUGAUUUGCUGACUGGAUCACGAAAGACAUGGAGAUUUACAGAAGUGAACAAAAAAGAAUGGUGAGGGACACUAAGAAAUUCACUCAAAACCAUAAAAUUACAUAGAAGUUAAAUAACCUACUCCUGAAUGACUUUUGGGUAAAUAAUGAAAUUAAGGCAGAAAUUAAGAAGUUCUUUGAAACUAAAGAGAAUAAAGACAAAACAUAUUAGAAUCUCUGGAACAUAGCUAACACAGUGUUAAGAGGGAAAUUUAUAGCACUAAAUGCUCACAUCAAAAAGUUAGAAAGAUCUCAGUUUAACAACCUAACAUCACAAUUAAAAGAACUAGAGAACCAAGAGCAAACCAAGCCCAAAGCUAGGAGAAUACAAGAAAUAACCAAAAUCGGAGCUGAAAUGAAGGAGAUCGAGACACAGACACACAGACACACACACACACACACACACACAUCAUUCAAAAGAUCAAUGAAUCCAGGAGCUAGUUUUUUGAUA